rnacentral:rRNA from 1 species
AUUCUUGGUCAUUUAGAGGAAGUAAAAGUCGUAACAAGGUUUCCGUAGGUGAACCUGCGGAAGGAUCAUUACUAGAGCAAAGGAUAGACAGCGCCCGCGGAGCUCGCUCCCGGGGCCACCCUACUCCGGUAGGGUUUAGAGUCGUCGGGCCUCUCGGAGAAGCUCGGUCCUGAACUCCACCCUUGAAUAAACUACCUUUGUUGCUUUGGCGGGCCGCCUCGUGCCAGCGGCUUCGGCUGUUGAGUGCCCGCCAGAGGACCACAACUCUUGUUUUUAGUGAUGUCUGAGUACUAUAUAAUAGUUAAAACUUUCAACAACGGAUCUCUUGGCUCUGGCAUCGAUGAAGAACGCAGCGAAAUGCGAUAAGUAAUGUGAAUUGCAGAAUUCAGUGAAUCAUCGAAUCUUUGAACGCACAUUGCGCCCUCUGGUAUUCCGGGGGGCAUGCCUGUUCGAGCGUCAUUAUAACCACUCAAGCUCUCGCUUGGUAUUGGGGUUCGCGGUUUCGCGGCUCCUAAAAUCAGUGGCGGUGCCUAUCGGCUCUACGCGUAGUAAUACUCCUCGCGAUUGAGUCCGGUAGGUCUACUUGCCAGCAACCCCUAAUUUUUUAAGGUUGACCUCGGAUCAGGUAGGGAUACCCGCUGAACUUAAGCAUAUCAAUAAGCGGAGGAAAAGAAACCAACAGGGAUUGCCCCAGUAACGGCGAGUGAAGCGGCAAUAGCUCAAAUUUGAAAUCUGGCUCUUUCAGGGUCCGAGUUGUAAUUUGCAGAGGGCGCUUUGGCGUCGGCAGCAGCCUAAGUUCCUUGGAACAGGUCAUCAUAGAGGGUGAGAAUCCCAUAUGUGGCUGCUUGUCUUCGCCGUGUAAAGCCCCUUCGAUGAGUCGAGUUGUUUGGGAAUGCAGCUCUAAAUGGGAGGUAAAUUUCUUCUAAAGCUAAAUAUUGGCCAGAGACCGAUAGCGCACAAGUAGAGUGAUCGAAAGAUGAAAAGAAUC